UGAGGAAUAUUGGGCAAUGCCCGCAAGGGUGACCCAGCAACGCCGCGUGGAGGAUGAAUGUCGUAAGAUUGUAAACUCCUGUUAGAGGGGAAGAAUAGUACCGGUUGGACCGGUAUAUGACUGUACCCUCAGAGAAAGCCCCGGCUAACUACGUGCCAGCAGCCGCGGUAAUACGUAGGGGGCAAGCGUUGUCCGGAUUUACUGGGUGUAAAGGGCGCGCAGGCGGGAUAAAAAGUCAGUGGUGAAAUCCUACAGCUUAACUGUAGAACUGCCUUUGAUACUUUUGUUCUUGAGUUCGGGAGAGAGAGACGGAAUUCCAGGUGUAGUGGUGAAAUACGUAGAUAUCUGGAAGAACACCAGUUGCGAAGGCGGUCUCUUGGUCCGACACUGACGCUGAGGCGCGAAAGCGUGGGGAGCAAACA
rnacentral:rRNA from 1 species